GUUGUAUAGUCAAGUAAUUAAGUGCAUGUGGUGGAUGCCUUGGCAGUCAGAGGCGAUGAAAGACGUGAUAGCCUGCGAAAAGCUCCGGGGAGGCGGCAAAUAUCCUUUGAUCCGGAGAUGUCUGAAUGGGGGAACCCACCUACUUUAAGGUAGGUAUUGCAACAUGAAUACAUAGUGUUGCAAGGCGAACGAGGGGAAGUGAAACAUCUCAGUACCCUUAGGAAAAGAAAUCAAUUGAGAUUCCCUCAGUAGCGGCGAGCGAACGGGGAUCAGCCCAUUAAGUUAUGUGUGUUUUAGUGGAACGCUCUGGGAAGUGCGAACGUAGAGGGUGAUAUUCCCGUACACGAAAGGGCACACAUAAUGAUGACGAGUAGGGCGAGGCACGUGAAACCUUGUCUGAAUAUGGGGGGACCAUCCUCCAAGGCUAAAUACUCCUGACUGACCGAUAGUGAACCAGUACCGUGAGGGAAAGGCGAAAAGAACCCCUGUGAGGGGAGUGAAAUAGAUCCUGAAACCGCAUGCAUACAAGCAGUGGGAGCACCUUCGUGGUGUGACUGCGUACCUUUUGUAUAAUGGGUCAGCGACUUAUAUUCAGUAGCAAGGUUAACCGUAUAGGGGAGCCGUAGAGAAAUCGAGUCUUAAUAGGGCGUUUAGUUGCUGGGUAUAGACCCGAAACCAGGCGAUCUAUCCAUGAGCAGGUUGAAGGUUGGGUAACACUAACUGGAGGACCGAACCCACUGUCGUUGAAAAGCCAGGGGAUGACUUGUGGAUAGGGGUGAAAGGCUAAUCAAGCCUGGUGAUAGCUGGUUCUCCCCGAAAGCUAUUUAGGUAGCGCCUCGGACGAAUACCAUAGGGGGUAGAGCACUGUUUCGGCUAGGGGGUCAUCCCGACUUACCAAACCGAUGCAAACUCCGAAUACCUAUGAGUACUAUCCGGGAGACAGACUGCGGGUGCUAACGUCCGUAGUCAAGAGGAAAACAAUCCAGACCGCCAGCUAAGGCCCCAAAAUCAUAGUUAAGUGGGAAACGAUGUGGGAAGGCAUAGACAGCUAGGAGGUUGGCUUANNNNNNNNNNNNNNNNNNNNNNNNNNNNNNNNNGAAGCAGCCACCCUUUAAAGAAAGCGUAAUAGCUCACUAGUCGAGUCGGCCUGCGCGGAAGAUGUAACGGGGCUAAAACUAUGUGCCGAAGCUGCGGAUGUAUACUUUGUAUACGUGGUAGGGGAGCGUUCUGUAAGCCGAUGAAGGUGUGUUGAGAAGCNNNNNNNNNNNNNNNAUGCUGGAGGUAUCAGAAGUGCGAAUGCUGACGUGAGUAACGACAAAACGGGUGAAAAACCCGUUCGCCGAAAGACCAAGGGUUCCAGUCCAACGUUAAUCGGGGCUGGGUGAGUCGACCCCUAAGGCGAGGCCGAAAGGCGUAGUCGAUGGGAAAAUGGUUAAUAUUCCAUUACUUCUGUGUAAUGCGAUGAGAGGACGGAGAAGGCUAAAUCAGCCUGGCGUUGGUUGUCCAGGUGAAAGGAUGUAGGCAUGUAUCUUAGGCAAAUCCGGGGUACUCUAUGCUGAGAUCUGAUAGCAAGCUGUACUUGUACAGCGAAGUGGUUGAUGCCAUGCUUCCAGGAAAAGUCUCUAAGCUUCAGUUACACAGGAAUCGUACCCGAAACCGACACAGGUGGUCAGGUCGAGUAGACCAAGGCGCUUGAGAGAACUCUGCUGAAGGAACUAGGCAAAAUGGUACCGUAACUUCGGGAGAAGGUACGCUGUUGUUGGUGAUGGAACUCGCUUCCUGAGCUGACGACAGCCGCAGAAACCAGGCCGCUGCAACUGUUUAUUAAAAACAUAGCACUCUGCAAACACGAAAGUGGACGUAUAGGGUGUGAUGCCUGCCCGGUGCUGGAAGGUUAAUUGAUGGGGUUAGCGUAAGCGAAGCUCUUGAUCGAAGCCCCAGUAAACGGCGGCCGUAACUAUAACGGUCCUAAGGUAGCGAAAUUCCUUGUCGGGUAAGUUCCGACCUGCACGAAUGGCAUAAUGAUGGCGGCGCUGUCUCCAGCAGAGGCUCAGUGAAAUCGAAAUCGCUGUGAAGAUGCAGUGUACCCGCGGCUAGACGGAAAGACCCCGUGAACCUUUACUGCAGCUUGACACUGAACUUUGACCUUACUUGUGUAGGAUAGGUGGGAGGCUUUGAAGCUGGAACGCUAGUUCCAGUGGAGCCGUCCUUGAAAUACCACCCUGGUAAUGUUGAGGUUCUAACUCUGUCCCGUGAUCCGGGACGAGGACCGUGUCUGGUGGGUAGUUUGACUGGGGCGGUCUCCUCCUAAAGAGUAACGGAGGAGUACGAAGGUGCGCUCAGCGUGGUCGGAAAUCACGCGUAGAGUAUAAAGGCAAAAGCGCGCUUAACUGCGAGACCCACAAGUCGAGCAGGUACGAAAGUAGGUCUUAGUGAUCCGGUGGUUCUGUAUGGAAGGGCCAUCGCUCAACGGAUAAAAGGUACUCUGGGGAUAACAGGCUGAUACCGCCCAAGAGUUCAUAUCGACGGCGGUGUUUGGCACCUCGAUGUCGGCUCAUCUCAUCCUGGGGCUGAAGCAGGUCCCAAGGGUAUGGCUGUUCGCCAUUUAAAGAGGUACGCGAGCUGGGUUUAGAACGUCGUGAGACAGUUCGGUCCCUAUCUACCGUGGGCGCUGGAAAUUUGAGAGGAUCUGCUCCUAGUACGAGAGGACCAGAGUGGACGAACCUCUGGUGUACCGGUUGUGACGCCAGUCGCAUCGCCGGGUAGCUAUGUUCGGAAGGGAUAACCGCUGAAAGCAUCUAAGCGGGAAGCCUACCUCAAGAUAAGAUUUCCCUAGGACUUUAUGUCCUCUAAAGAGCCGUUCGAGACUAGGACGUUGAUAGGUUGGAUGUGGAAGCAUAGUGAUAUGUGAAGCUGACCAAUACUAAUUGCUCGUGAGGCUUGACUAUACAACACCCAAGCAGUUG
rnacentral:rRNA from 1 species